GGGUUGUGAGGUUAAGCGACUAAGCGUACACGGUGGAUGCCCUGGCAGUCAGAGGCGAUGAAGGACGUGCUAAUCUGCGAUAAGCGCCGGUAAGGUGAUAUGAACCGUUAUAACCGGCGAUUUCCGAAUGGGGAAACCCAGUGUGACUCGUCACACUAUCAUUAACUGAAUCCAUAGGUUAAUGAGGCGAACCGGGGGAACUGAAACAUCUAAGUACCCCGAGGAAAAGAAAUCAACCGAGAUUCCCCCAGUAGCGGCGAGCGAACGGGGAUGAGCCCAGAGCCUGAAUCAGCAUGUGUGUUAGUGGAAGCGUCUGGAAAGGCGCGCGAUACAGGGUGACAGCCCCGUACACAAAAGCGCAUAUGCUGUGAGCUCGAUGAGUAGGGCGGGACACGUGGUAUCCUGUCUGAAUAUGGGGGGACCAUCCUCCAAGGCUAAAUACUCCUGACUGACCGAUAGUGAACCAGUACCGUGAGGGAAAGGCGAAAAGAACCCCGGCGAGGGGAGUGAAAAAGAACCUGAAACCGUGUACGUACAAGCAGUGGGAGCCCCACCACUAAGCCAGUGGUGAACUCCACAUACGCAUCCUUUGCUGAGGAUGCGGUUAACGGAGCGAAAGCGACGUUCAACCGCAAAAGAAGCAGAGGGGGCUUAGUGGUGGGGUGACUGCGUACCUUUUGUAUAAUGGGUCAGCGACUUAUAUUCUGUAGCAAGGUUAACCGAAUAGGGGAGCCGGAGGGAAACCGAGUCUUAAU
rnacentral:rRNA from 2 species